rnacentral:rRNA from 1 species
CAAUAAGCGGCGGAAAAGAAACCAACAGGGAUUGCCUCAGUAACGGCGAGUGAAGCGGCAACAGCUCAAAUUUGAAAUCUGGCCCUGUGCCCGAGUUGUAAUUUGUAGAGGAUGCUUUCGGCGCGGCGCCUUCCGAGUUCCCUGGAACGGGACGCCACAGAGGGUGAGAGCCCCGUAUGGUUGGAUGCCAAGCCAUUGUAUAGCUCCUUCGACGAGUCAAGUAGUUUGGGAAUGCUGCUUAAAAUGGGAGGUAAAUUUCUUCUAAAGCUAAAUACCGGCCAGAGACCGAUAGCGAAAAAGUAGAGUGAUCGAAAGAUGAAAAGCACUUUGAAAAGAGGGUUAAACAGCACGUGAAAUUGUUGAAAGGGAAGCGCUUGUGACCAGACCUGCGCCCUGGGGAUAUCCGGCGUUCUCGCCGGUGCUUUCCGCUGGGUUGCAGGCCAGCAUCGGUUUUCCUAGGGGGACAAAAGCUUCGGGAACGUGGCUCCUUCGGGAGUGUUAUAGCCCGUCGUACAAUACCCUUGGGGGGACCGAGGUACGCGCUCCGCAAGGAUGCUGGCGUAAUGGUCAUCAGCGACCCGUCUUGAAACACGGACCAAGGAGUCAAGCAUUAGGGCGAGUGUAUGGGUGCAAAACCCGCACGCGAAAUGAAAGUGAACGUAGGUGAGAGCUUCGGCGCAUCAUCGACCGAUCCUGAAGUCUUCGGAUGGAUUUGAGUAAGAGCCUUACCGCUUGGACCCGAAAGAUGGUGAACUAUGCCUGUAUAGGGUGAAGCCAGAGGAAACUCUGGUGGAGGCUCGCAGCGGUUCUGACGUGCAAAUCGAUCGUCAAAUAUGGGCAUGGGGGCGAAAGACUAAUCGAACUAUCUAGUAGCUGGUUACCGCCGAAGUUUCCCUCAGGAUAGCAGUGUUGUUUUCAGUUUUAUGAGGUAAAGCGAAUGAUUAGGGACUCGGGGGCGCUAUUUUGCCUUCAUCCAUUCUCAAACUUUAAAUAUGUAAGAAGCCCUUGUUACUUUGUUGAACGUGGGCCUUCGAAUGCAGCAACACUAGUGGGCCAUUUUUGGUAAGCAGAACUGGCGAUGCGGGAUGAACCGAACGCGGGGUUAAGGUGCCAGAGUGGACGCUCAUCAGACACCA